rnacentral:rRNA from 1 species
AGCUUGCUCCCUGAUGUUAGCGGCGGACGGGUGAGUAACACGUGGGUAACCUGCCUGUAAGACUGGGAUAACUCCGGGAAACCGGGGCUAAUACCGGAUGGUUGUUUGAACCGCAUGGUUCAAACAUAAAAGGUGGCUUCGGCUACCACUUACAGAUGGACCCGCGGCGCAUUAGCUAGUUGGUGAGGUAACGGCUCACCAAGGCGACGAUGCGUAGCCGACCUGAGAGGGUGAUCGGCCACACUGGGACUGAGACACGGCCCAGACUCCUACGGGAGGCAGCAGUAGGGAAUCUUCCGCAAUGGACGAAAGUCUGACGGAGCAACGCCGCGUGAGUGAUGAAGGUUUUCGGAUCGUAAAGCUCUGUUGUUAGGGAAGAACAAGUACCGUUCGAAUAGGGCGGUACCUUGACGGUACCUAACCAGAAAGCCACGGCUAACUACGUGCCAGCAGCCGCGGUAAUACGUAGGUGGCAAGCGUUGUCCGGAAUUAUUGGGCGUAAAGGGCUCGCAGGCGGUUUCUUAAGUCUGAUGUGAAAGCCCCCGGCUCAACCGGGGAGGGUCAUUGGAAACUGGGGAACUUGAGUGCAGAAGAGGAGAGUGGAAUUCCACGUGUAGCGGUGAAAUGCGUAGAGAUGUGGAGGAACACCAGUGGCGAAGGCGACUCUCUGGUCUGUAACUGACGCUGAGGAGCGAAAGCGUGGGGAGCGAACAGGAUUAGAUACCCUGGUAGUCCACGCCGUAAACGAUGAGUGCUAAGUGUUAGGGGGUUUCCGCCCCUUAGUGCUGCAGCUAACGCAUUAAGCACUCCGCCUGGGGAGUACGGUCGCAAGACUGAAACUCAAAGGAAUUGACGGGGGCCCGCACAAGCGGUGGAGCAGGUGGUUUAAUUCGAAGCAACGCGAAGAACCUUACCAGGUCUUGACAUCCUCUGACAAUCCUA